CGUUUCUCCAUAAACAUCAAAGAAAUCUUCUCAAUCAAAAACAAAUCAAAUAGAUUUUCCCCGAUUCACGAUCAAAUCUUGGCCACCUUAAGGAGUUUUUUGUGGCUUCGCCGCAAGAUUGGUGAAGAAUCAUACACUCGCAAAGCAAAGUUUAUGGAACUUAUUUAAAUCAAGCUGUAGUUCGACUAUCGUUAGCGUCUUCGAAGACACUCCUUUGAUCGAGAAUCACCAUUGAAUGAUGAAGGCAAAGCUAAUGAUGAGAUAAGUUCCAUGUUUUUUUUUUGGACACCGGUUUUCUCUGGUUCAAUUUUCCAAAAUUGUUUUAGGAUUUAAAGGUUGUUAAAAAUCGACUUGUGAUAUAUUUAUCGACAGAUAACAAUGUUUUGAUCUUCUGAGACUAAAGAAGAGUAGUCACGUAAACGUUGAAGAAAGGGAGAGUAAGGAGAAUUCACAUAUAAUGAAGCUUGAAUUUAUGGCUAGUUGGUCGAUACUUCCCGGUUGCUGGAGUAAACGAGAAAUUCUCAUGGAACCUCCAUUCUCCAACUUGCAAUCUCUUAACACGAGCGAGGAAGAGCCUCUUGCAGUGAUUGAUAUGAACUACAGAGAACACAGAAGAAAGUGUUGUGAUUCAAGUAAUUAAAUGAAGUAUAAACAUGUUUGUCCAAGCAGAGUCUGUAUGUAAGAUAUAAUCUAUAGAUAAGAAUUGUGU